AUCGGGAGUAGACUAACAAGGAUUCCCCUAGUAACUGCGAGUGAAGCGGGAAAAGCUCAAAUUUAAAAUCUGGCGGUCUUUGGCCGUCCGAGUUGUAAUCUGGAGAAGCGUUUUCCGCGCUGGACCGUGUACAAGUCUCUUGGAACAGAGCGUCAUAGAGGGUGAGAAUCCCGUCUUUGACACGGACUACCAGUGCUAUGUGAUGCGCUCUCGAUGAGUCGAGUUGUUUGGGAAUGCAGCUCAAAAUGGGUGGUAAAUUCCAUCUAAAGCUAAAUAUUGGCGAGAGACCGAUAGCGAACAAGUACCGUGAGGGAAAGAUGAAAAGCACUUUGGAAAGAGAGUUAAACAGUACGUGAAAUUGCUGAAAGGGAAACGAUUGAAGUCAGUCGCGUGUGCUAGAACUCAGCCUUGCUUUUGCUUGGUGCAUUUUCUAGUGUACGGGCCAGCAUCAGUUUUGGCCGCCGGAAAAAGGCCUUGGGAAUGUGGCACCUUCGGGUGUGUUAUAGCCCUUGGUUGUAUACGGUGGCUGGGACUGAGGAACAUAGCAUGCCUUUACGGCGGGGCUUCGGCCACCUUCAUGCUUUGGAUGCUGGCGUAAUGGCUUUAAACGACCCGUCUUGAAACACGGACCAAGGAGUCUAACAUGCCUGCGAGUGUUUGGGUGGAAAACCCGAGCGCGUAAUGAAAGUGAAAGUUGGGACUUCUGUCGUGGAAGGCACCGACGCCCGGACCAGACCUUCUGUGACGGAUCCGCGGUAGAGCAUGUAUGUUGGGACCCGAAAGAUGGUGAACUAUGCCUGAAUAGGGUGAAGCCAGAGGAAACUCUGGUGGAGGCUCGUAGCGAUUCUGACGUGCAAAUCGAUCGUCAAAUUUGGGUAUAGGGGCGAAAGACUAAUCGAACCAUCUAGUAGCUGGUUCCUGCGAGUUUCUCCCUCGAAAGAAACAAAAAAAACCCGGGCUAAUAAGAGGGUCGCGAUGAGCUUUUCCGCCCCUAAUCCCAAAUUUGAGGAAACGAUUUGGCGGUUAGAAAAUGCCUACAAGCCUCCCCCAGAGUUUCCUUCUGGGCUUCACCCUAUUCAGCAUAGUACAAUCUUUCGGGGUCCAACAUACCAUGCUCUACCGCGAUCGUCACAGAAAGGUCUGGAUCGGGCUCGGUGCUUCCGCACGAAAGUUCCACUAAUUUCAUACGCCUCGGGUUUACCAAACCUCCAGGCGUGUUGAACUUUGGGGUCCGGUUUCG
rnacentral:rRNA from 1 species